rnacentral:misc_RNA from 1 species
ACUGUGAACAGCUGCUUGAAUGAAUGGAUGAGGAGAAGGCAAAUAAGAAAAAUACUACGCGUGGGUGAAGAAGAAGAACCCAAAAAAAACUCAAUGAAACAACGAGGUUCUGGUGGAUCUCUAUGGUCGUAUAAGGGGAUUUUAAAUAAGAUGGCGGAUCGAAGCAGAAUGAAAUGGUUUUAUUCCAGACGGGCCAGUGGACUAGGGAUUAAGCUAAUAAAAUUCAAUUGGACCUGCGAUUUGGACUUGGUUUGCUGCUUCCGUUCCGGAAAGGUUAGAAAUUCAGAUGGGACCUGGACCGGAAGACUGAAGGCGGUGUAUGGAGCCAAUUAUUAUUCUAAAAACCUAAGUUUUAAUCAUCCUAUUUUGGUUCCUGAAGAACUAGAACUGUAAGAUCGAGAGGAAAAUUUCUUAAGUCAACGAAAUUUUAAUCGUCCAUUUUUACCAUUUCGCGGGUUUUGUCGGGUUUGGCAAUUGGCCACAAAUGAUCGGACCUGAACAUUCUGGUUGGGCCAGUAGAAAUAUUCCCUUAACCUUCGGAGCGUUUUACCAAAACCUCCAUGAGCGGCUUGAGGCGGAUGGUGGCACUUCGCAAUUACUUCUUGAGUAAGCUCUAGUGGAACCCAAACUUCCAGGCAAAAUCUUCGUUUAGCGGCACCCCGUCAUAUGGGAGGACCCGCUUAUAAACCAGGUCAUUCACGACCUUCAAAUCAGGCAGGCUUUCAGAGUUUUCCUUGAUUUUGGCGAUUAAGUCCAGGUAACUUUGACCUUUGAAAUACUCAGACUCUAAAUUUAUUAAAUUAUUUACCUCCACAGAUACUUCCUCCAUGUCAUACUUCGACAAGGUGUCGGGAACGAUAUUUUUGGAUCCGGGCCGGCGUUCGAUGGAAAAUGUAAAGGCCUGUAGAUGUAAGCUCCAUCGGGCUAGUCUGCCCGUAGUUCUUCUGUGCACUGGUCAAUUUGUGAGAGAUGAACGCCACCGGAUACUCGCCGUUGUUUUCGUCCUUCUGGAAGAGAACUGCUCCCAAACCUAUGUCUGAUGCAUCGCAUUGGACAUAAAAGUGCCUGUUGAAAUCGGGAUGCAUAAGCACUGGUGCUGUUGUGAGGGCGGACUUUAGCUUGGCGAAGGCUUCCUUAGCUUCGUCCGGAAAGUUGAAACCUUUCCCUUUCUUAAGGGUGUUAAAAAUAGCUCCCAUGUAGCUUCGGACCUGUUUGGCGGUUUUCGGGUACUUCAACUCUUUGAAGCAAAAUUUCGACUUCCCUACGUUGAUGGUCAGACACGCCGAAUUCAGGCAAUGCGCUACCCGAUCCAGCAAUUCCAGGUGAGUUUUAAAGUCUGGAGAUAUGAUCAAAAGUUCAUCUAGAUAGACGAAAACUCUAUCACGAAGUGCUGAAGGGAUCACUUUGUCCAUCAGACGACAUAACCUUUGGGCUGCGUUUAGGGUUGCUAGCCUGGCUGGACUUGGCUGGAUUGUCCAGCUUUUUUGGUGCUAAUCCAGUUUCAAGCUAAAAUUUAAUUUGUCCAGCCAAAUAGAAAUUUUUUAGUAUACUACAAUAAC